UACGGAGGGGGCUAGCGUUGUUCGGAAUUACUGGGCGUAAAAGCGCACGUAGGCGGCUUUGUAAGUUAGAGGUGAAAGCCCGGGGCUCAACUCCGGAAUUGCCUUUAAGACUGCAUCGCUAGAACGUCGGAGAGGUAAGUGGAAUUCCGGAGUGUAGAGGUGAAAUUCGUAGAUAUUACGGAAGAACACCAGUGGCGAAGGCGACUUACUGGACGACCGUUGGACGCUGAGGUGCGAAAGCGUGGGGA
rnacentral:rRNA from 1 species